rnacentral:lncRNA from 1 species
UGUCAGUCUUAGGAUCUCUGUUUUAAUGUUAAUGCUGGUCACUUGUACCUGAACUUCCUAAGAGAGAGGGUAUAGUGAGGUAUGUCUGACCCCCACCCCACCCCACUUCCUGUCAUGACCUGAACUAGUUUUUCAGGUUUCUUUCGAAUCUCCUUUGUUGAGAGGGGAUGCAUUCAGUCACUUGGGGGACUUUUAUUUUAUUUUUGGUUUACAAAAGUGAGGGAUAUCUGAGUCUAGAGCAGACUGAAGAGGAGGGGAAGUACAGUCCCCAGAUAAAGGCCUUCAGAUGUCAUCUCUCACUAGCAUGCAGGCCACAGCCCAGAGGGACAUGACACAGCAUUUUUAUUAGGCUUAAUGUUCCAGGCCAGGCACGGUGGCUCAUGCCUGUAAUCCCAGCACUUCAGGAAGCCGAGGAUACCAAGGAGAAGACUGAGCAUCACCCAAAGGCUUGGCAUACUCUCUGGGUUGUAUGCAGGAAGGCUGUGUCACCUUAGGUGCAGAACAAGCAAUUCUGAACAUUCUGCAAGCCAGCGGCAGAUGUGUAGAGGGCACACUGCUGAUUCUGUAAAUAGAAUCUUGAAAUGUGACAAAAUACAGGAUUUAUAAAUGGCAAUGGUUUGCCUGGGAGACUUCAGCAUUUCCAAGGGCUUCCCAGGAAGACUCUGCACCCUGCUCUGCCGUCCCUGCUAGGCUAAUGCCCUGUCAACCUUGAAGUCUUACCUUAAGGGAACAUCUGCACCUUGCCCAUUUCUAGGUGAUUCAAGAAAGCUUUUUGGUGUUUAUUCUGUCUAAAGUGAAAUAAUUAAUAUUAUUGUGAAUGGUGUUGCAAUUAUAAAUUCAGAUAAAAAGUUCUAUAUAUAUAUAUUUUUAAAAACAAAUAUUUCUUGGUUAUUCAAAUCAUCCUAAAAUAAAUGUUUUCCUUAUUAUAUUAAAAAAAACCUCUGGAGCAGAAAUGCACUUGAAUUGGUUGUUAUAAUGAUACAAUUCAUUCUGUGUCCAAACCAGCUACACAAUUCUACCAAUAAAAAUAAAACCUGCAGUUGAUAUAAAUAUGUUACACACACACAUUUAUUGUAGUUCAACUCCACAACUACCAAAUGCAUAAUGAAACUUACGUUGUCAUAUAGAUGAAUAGAUAGAUAGAUAGAUAGAUAGAUAAUGACUUAUCUAUUCAUGUAUAGGUGUCUGCAAUGGCAUUGGACAGUAUUUAAUGAGAGUCCUCCAAAAUUUAGUUUCAUACUAUUUAAAUUCUAUGGGAAAACUGUAGUAACAUUAUUAAAUAACUAAAAGCCCAUAUACUUUCAGCUUUAGAAAGGUGUAAUUAUUGAAAACAAAUUCUAAAAAGAGGAAGCACUAAAAUUUGCCUGAAAUAAGAAAGCAGCAGAAGGCCAGGCGCCGUGGCUCACCCCUGUAAUCUCAGCACUUUGGGAGGCCGAGGAGAGUGGAUCACUUGAGUCCAGGAGUUCCCUACAAAAAAAAAUUAAAAAAAAAAUUUGGCAUGGUGAUGUGUGCCUGUAGUCCCAGUUACUUGUGAGGCUGAGGUGGGAGGAUCACCUGAGCCUAGAAGGUCAAGGCUGCAGUGAGCCAUGAUCACAGUGCUGCACCCCAGCCUGGGUGACAGAGCAAAACCCUGUCUCAAAAAAAAAAAAAAAAAAGAAAAAAAAAGGCACUGGAGGAACUGAGCAAAUUAAAUCAAAUUAUAUAGCACAAGUGAUAGACAAGCAUUACUUUUUUUUAAAGAAGACUUUGGAAUCUGUAGGAAAAAUCUUCUGAUAGAAUGCUCAUAAUCAUUUGUGUUUUGUGGCUAAAUAUAAUUAAUUUGAGAGGUCUAUAAUUUUACAAAAUCUAAAAAUUUGCUGAAUCAGCCAACUGAAAAACAAAUAGAUAACAUUUCUGGUAAAGUUUAUUGUGAAAUAGGAGUAUAUGUGAAAAAUAGGUUUUCUGGAAGGGGAUAACCAAAUAUAUCUGUAAAAACAUUUGGGCUGAAAUAUUUAGACAUUUCAAUAAGAAAAGCAUUUGAAUUGACAAUGUCCUCCAUUUAGUAGCUUUUAUUUCCUGAGCUCAUGAGUUGUCUCAGCCUUCAUAAAGAAAACACUUUUCCUGUGGGCUAAAGAGCACUGUUGCUACUUACCACAUUCUGUCCUGACCAUCUCCUGAUGCCUACUAUCAAGCACAUGGAAUCUAUUUCCUGUCGAAACCUCUGCAGUGUAAAAUGUCAUAAUCUUCCUUCUACAAUUAACUUCAUAAGAAGAGCAAGCACUACGGCAGAUGUUACAACAUUUUGUUUUUCUUUGAAUUGUCAUGUGAUAUAUUACACAGUCAUACCUUACUCUGUGCAAGAAUUUGGAUCCUGGAACCAAGUAAUAAUUUAAAUUUAGAAAUCUAAUAAAUAUUUUAACUUCAUAGCACUGUUUAAAGUUAUACACCCAUGAAUAUUUUAGAACUAAAAUGAAGACUUCUUCAUUUAUAUGAUUAAAAAUUGUACUGUUACUGUACACAGUUGCUUCAACUUAUAUGAUUGAAAAUUGUACUGUUACUGUACACUAUUGUCAAAACUUCCUUUUGCUUUUAAUAAAAAGCAAUUUCACCUCACAGGUUUACCUUUCUUUAGCACUUUCAUUGAAAUAACUGAAAUAUGUGUGUAAGCGUGUGUGUGUGUGU